ACUACCCUACCGUGCUCGUGAUGGGUAGUUUGAUCUUGAGCCAACACCUGAGUAUUGGGGACCAGUAGCAUCUCUCGAGUGCAUGCCUCUCUUUGAAGCGGUAGCCAGGUAAGAGCUGUGAGGCACCCACCUGUAUGCUUAGGUUCAGAUACAACUUCCCACACGGCACAAUGGUAGGGUUUUU
rnacentral:other from 1 species